UAAUAGUUUAAGUUAAAAUAUUUAAUUUGCAUUUAAAUGAUAUUUAUAAAAAUUUA
rnacentral:tRNA from 1 species